AUUGAACGCUGGCGGCAGGCCUAACACAUGCAAGUCGAGCGGAUGAAGGGAGCUUGCUCCUGGAUUCAGCGGCGGACGGGUGAGUAAUGCCUAGGAAUCUGCCUGGUAGUGGGGGAUAACGUCCGGAAACGGGCGCUAAUACCGCAUACGUCCUGAGGGAGAAAGUGGGGGAUCUUCGGACCUCACGCUAUCAGAUGAGCCUAGGUCGGAUUAGCUAGUUGUUGGGGUAAAGGCCUACCAAGGCGACGAUCCGUAACUGGUCUGAGAGGAUGAUCAGUCACACUGGAACUGACACACGGUCCAGACUCCUACGGGAGGCAGCAGUGGGGAAUAUUGGACAAUGGGCGAAAGCCUGAUCCAGCCAUGCCGCGUGUGUGAAGAAGGUCUUCGGAUUGUAAAGCACUUUAAGUUGGGAGGAAGGGCAGUAAGUUAAUACCUUGCUGUUUUGACGUUACCAACAGAAUAAGCACCGGCUAACUUCGUG
rnacentral:rRNA from 1 species